rnacentral:rRNA from 1 species
UACGUAGGGGGCAAGCGUUGUCCGGAAUUAUUGGGCGUAAAGAGCGCGUAGGCGGUCCGGUAAGUCGGUUGGGAAAGUCGGGGGCUCAACCCUCGGAUGCCGAUCGAUACUGGGCGGCUAGAGUCUGGUAGGGGGAUCUGGAAUUCCUGGUGUAGCGGUGGAAUGCGCAGAUAUCAGGAGGAACACCGGUGGCGAAGGCGGGAUCCUGGGCCAGUACUGACGCUGAGGAGCGAAAGCGUGGGGAGCAAACAGG